UACAGGAUGUGCCCAUAAUAAAUUUCCGUUUCCGUGUAGCAAUGGUUACUGGAACGUCGCCCUGAUUGUU
rfam:Yersinia pseudotuberculosis IP 32953, complete genome.